UCCAGAGUUUACCAGAGAAAGGGGUGAAUGACUGACAAUACUGGUUAACUCUUGCAAUAGAGAGGUGGACAGAUCAGUGGUGAGAGAAAGAAGGUGUUGUGUAGCGAGGCCGCUGGAGAGGGGAGGCAUGCACGUGAGGCACACUCCAUACAUGGGCGAGUAUGGCCCCUGUACAGAGUUAGCAAGCUCUAAGGCCACGGAGACGAGGAGUGCCUGUGUUGUCACCACUGCCUCUAUCAAAGCUACGUGACUCAUUUCCCAUGCAUAUUCUCUCUCUCUCUCUCUCUCUCUCUCUCUCUCUCUCUCUCUCUCUCUCUCUCUCUCUCUCUCUCUCUCUCUCUCUCUCUCUCUCUCUCUCUCUCUCUCUCUCUCUCUCUCUCUCCUCCCCCCUUCCUCUCGCUUUCUCUAUCUCUCUCUCCCGCUGCUUCCUUGGUUUAGUGUUGCCUGUGUUGUGCCCGAAAGCAGUGUUGUAGAUUUUAUUGCGCUGUGCCCGUAAUCAUUGAGUGACCGCCCUGUGCGUGUGUUGCCGCGUCAGGAAGGGAGUGUUGCGUCUCCAGGCACCUCCCGCCUCACGCCUUGCUUCCUCCCGUCUCCCAGAGUCUACACACCUGCACUCUUGAGGCAGGAGUAAGUGGACCUGCUGGUGGACUACAGGCUGAACACAAGCACUGACAAGCAGUACAGGGCAUUUCAUGAUGGCUUCUGCAGGGUGUGGGACGGUACUGUGCUCAAACUUUUCCUGCCAAUGGAACGAACUUAAGGACUUGGUCACCGGCAAUGAAAAUUAUUUCUGGACCGAGUUGGAAAAGAAUGCUGAAUAUAAGAUUAAGUUAGGUUGAGGGUGAGUACUUCCCAGACCAUCCAGUCACUCGCACGUGUUGGGAAGUCUUUCGCAAGCUCUCGCUGGAACAGAAAAUGUUUUUAAGUUUCUGACGGGGACUCACCAGGUGUACUAGGCAUGAGAGAGAGAGAGAGAGAGAGAGAGAGAGAGAGAGAGAGAGAGAGAGAGAGAGAGAGAGAGAGAGAGAGAGAGAGAGAGAGA